rnacentral:lncRNA from 1 species
CUGAACCAGAGUUUGCCAAGCCCUGGAUCAGCAUCUGCAGCAGGCGGGCUCCUGGAUGAUUCAGCGUAGCCAGAAACGGGACCAGGCUCGGUGCCCUCGUCUCUGCCACAGGCAAUAUUGUCAUUUCCUAAUUCACUGGGCUGAUGGUUGUGAGGAAGAAAUGAAGUCAUGUGUGAAGGAGUGUUUUAUAGACAUUAAUUUAACCAAGAUAGUGUGCCAGAAUUUCCAAAACAUACCAUAUUCUAAAGAUUCUUGGUUUGUACAUUUUUUCAGCUUUAUUGAGAUAUAGUAGACAUGAAACAUUGUGUAAGUUUGUGUAACAUUGUAUAGACAGAGUGUAUGAUGUGUUGAUUUGACACAUUUCUAUACUGCAAAAUGAUUCCCAUCUUAGCAUCCAGCUCCAUCCCAUCACGAUUACUUUUUUUUUUGUGAUAAGAACAUUUAAGAAUUACUCUGUUAGGAACAUUCAAGUAUACAAUACAGUAUCAUUAGCUAUAAUCACCAUGCUGUCCACUAGAUCCCCAGAACUUGUUAAUCUUAUACGUUAUUUCAGCAGAUGAAGACGGUUCUGUUUUCGAGGAUUGCAUAUGUAAAACAUUAUUGUGUAGAAGAGAUUUGACAUUUAAUUUAUCUAAUUUAUUUUUCAAAUUACUAUUGAUUGGGUUCCCUGUUCUCGUGGACAAUUUAGAAAACACAGCCACAAAUAAAAUCCUCUUUCUUUCAAUCCCACCAUUCUUGCAAAUACUGUGUAAUCAGGUGCGGGACACCUGCCCGCGCCUGUGAGCGUCUGAUCGUCUUUCCCAGUGAAUUCGGUCUCACCUCCUGCUGAGCACGCCGGUUCAACACUGGAGGAUUAGAUUUCUGUCCUCGACCGGGUCCCGCUCACCUCGGGAGAAGCAGGAUAAAUGAUCAGCCUCGGGCGGGUGUGCAGCUGUGGACCAGAGCGCAGCCCGGUGACCCGAGCGCGCGGGGCCCUCGCUGGGCGCCCCCUCCCUCUCCCCGCGCCGCCUCCAGCGCGAGUGACAACGCGCCCUCCGGGCUCGGGAGCGGCGGCGUCGGACGACCCUGGGCAGGGCUCGCCUCUAGGGGGCAUCAGUCCUAGAGCUGAUUCCACGCUCCCAGCUCCUGGUUUUGUGAGACGUCGGUCGGUUAGUCCGUUUGUCUGUCCGCCCUGGAGAGGACUCAUCGCCGGCCUGGGACAGAACCGAGCACCAAAAAGUGACCGAAUCCAGAGGAGGCAAGAGAUUGAGGCAGCGAGGGAAGGAGGCCCCGGCAGGCGACAGCAUGCAGUUCAGCCCGGCGCUGUACCUGCCGCCUCUGCUGCCGGCGCUGGUCCUCAGCACCAGAUUUACCCAUGGUGCUGCAUAAACCAGUGAGCAGCUCAUGUCUUUUUAUCACAAAUCCUCCGUUGUAUCGAUACACAACAAUUUAUUUAUUCACUCACCGGUUGAUGGACAUUUCGUUGUUUCCAGUUGUUGGCUGUUGUGAAUAAAUUUGCUAUGGAUAUGUUCAUUCAAAGUCUUUUGGUGAACUCAGGUUUUCAACUUCCUUGGAUUCUCCCUUUUAGUGUUCUAAAGUUUGCUAUUGAGUUUGGAAAGGUCUCAACUUAGGAAAAAGAUGGCAGAUGAAAGAAAGCAAGACCACAUAUGAAAGGUGAAGAUAAUGAGCAUCUGGGAAAGAAGCAUCUGGCCGCAGGACAUCUGGCUUCUUACCGGCUAAAUUCAGCCUGUCAUGCAAUGGUGUGGUCGCUGAGGAAGUGGGCAAUGGACCUGUGGGAAAGGUGUGAUAUGCACCUCCUCUUCCCAGAAAAGGCUGCACAUACUUGACUCGAAGGAGUGGCCGAAGAGAAGGCUCUCAUCACAUCCUGGACCUCAGGAGAGCAGAUACAAAACCUAUGCGCUAUAUACUACAUCAUAGUUAAUGUAAAACUACACCAUAUAGAAUUUAUAUUACAUUCUGUAUGCUAUACUUAACAUGUAUACUAUACGUAUAAUCAGUAUAUCUAUAUAUAUCUGUAUAGAGGGGCGCAGAGUAAACUAAUGACUCUCUAGCGCUUAUUUCUAUCCCUGACGUCUCCCCUCAGCCUUAGAUACAUUCUCCCUAGACAUCCCUAACUGAACGUGGCCACUACACAACCAUUUGUUUCCAUUUAUAUCCCAACCUUCCCCAUUUUGGUAAAUGGCUUUGCAAUCUACCCAGCCAUUCAGACUGAAAACUAGAAUUCAUCCUUGAUUCUCCUUUUCGUCUCAGCUCCAAUCCAUCUAUCUUCUCCAUCAGUUCUACUUCCCAAAUAUAUUUCCUGAGUCUGACUACUUACCUCCACCUCCACUGUUCUACGUCCGGACCACUAGCUCUCACCUCCAUUAAGGAAACAACUUCCUGAGUUGUUUCUCUGCCUUUCUUUCGCCCCCUGCAAUUCACCUUCCAUCUGAAAACUAAGGGAAAUAAAAGGAUGGUGUUGCUUUUCUUAACCCUCCAAUGGCUUCCUGUACCCACAGGAAUAAACACCAACCUCCCUUCAGUGGUCUCCCAGCCCUGCAUCAUCUGGCCCCUGCCACUCUCUGAUUGCUUCUCCCUCCACUUUCUUGUUUUUCAAACUGCCUUUGUUCCCUCACUUGAAGUGGCCAAGAGAAUUUCCAAUUGGCCCCUCUGCACUUGAUGUUCUUUAUACUUAGAAUGCUCCCCUCCCAAAUCAGUGCAUGACUGCCUCCUUCGGUGCUCAGUUCCCAACCCAAAGGUCACCUCCUCAGACAACGCCUACCACUCCCUCUCCCCACAUUUCUCUGCUUUGUCCUCAGUGUAGUAUUCAACAGCACUUGAGUUUAGCUUAUGUAUCACCUUAUUUGGUCCUGAUCUUUCCCUUCUUUGGGGACAAGGACACUGACCUUCACACCACCAUAGCUCCAGCUAUAAAAACAUCCUUCCCAUAAUAGGACUCCAAUAAAUAUUUGCUGACUGUUUGCAAUUUUUUAGGAUCUGGUAGUAUUCUUUAUGGUAUAAAUUUUUAGACAGAUACCUCUGACUUGAGUAAAUCUUUGAUUAUUUUUUAAUAUAAACUUGAAAAAUGAUUUUAUCAUUUGCUAUUUAAACUGCAUAUACCUGGAAAGGUACUGAGGUCUGUAGGACCUUGGUUCUCUUACUGGCUUUUGUUGGUGUCAAUCUGACAUAGAGGAAAUCUGUAGUAUUAUAUAUGUUUAUGUGUACCUUUCUCUGAAGUCUUAGUCAUUGAGUUUGGGGAUUUACUGGGACCUUGGAGGUCUCAAAAGUUAAAGGCAGAAUCUCUUAGUGGUAGGCAUUAAGGGUACAUCUUCUACAAGAAAUCUACUUCUAUUUUUAGAAACAAUGUUUCCCCUAUUCACAUAACUAAUUUCCCUCCAUCUCAGCGAAGAUGAAAAUGUUAGGUAGCAAUAUAAUAACUAAAACAGGAAAUUUAUUGAUAAAGCAUCUGAAUUGAAUUUAGGCUAAGCAGAAAACACAGCAAGCAUAUCCUGGAAUUUCCUGAGGCUAACAAAUAGAUGCAUUUAUUUGCUUAUUCUAAUUUCACAUUCCUUCUCCAACAAUAAAAAUUGAACAGUAACACUGAAAAAUAAGUUGUACACAAUCAAAACUGUUGACAUACAUCACUCUGGAAAAUAUCAGCAUGCAAGCUGUAUCAAACUACACACAUUUUUUAAUUUAAUGUUAUAUUAGUAGCUGAAUUUUUUGUUUAUUGGCAAUGGAAAACGUGAGAAGAAUAUCAUUCUACCCUCAAAUAAGAUGUUUAACACAUUUUUCCCUCGAGGUUCCAAAAUGAUCUUCCCUUGGGUACAGGCUGACAAGUUCCUAAAAUACAUUCAAAUUAAAAUUGUCGUUUCAAUAGAUCUAUUUCUAUCCUGUGACUAUUACAGAGCUGAAUAACAAGCACAGCAUGAAGGCUACGCAUGUGAAUCACUCAUUAUCGUCUGUGUUAGUGUUUCCAGAAGUGGAGGCCAUUAGAAUGGGGAAGCACUCAUGUCUGCACUUUCUUACUGAACUGCAGACUAGAAGACGUAGAUGGUGUCCUCCUUUGAUCCACAGCAUGGGAGGGGAAAGUCACAGGCUCCCAGCCUGAUUGUUAAUAGAGUUUUCAGAGAUUCGAAAGCCUUUUAACACAGGCAGAGAUUUCUAAUAUUCCAUUUUUAUUGUGGUGGUGUAAAUAGUGCAACAUUCAAUAUUUAUCUAAAUUAUGGGGUUUUUUCCUUAAAAAAAAAACCACCUCAUGACAGCAUAGCAACUGUUGAGCUUUGUAUGACUUCUACUGAUUUCAGCAAAUUCUGAAGACUGAAUCCUAUUAUCUACAGAAACCCCAGGGCUCGUGCCAGAGUGACGUGCUUCUACUUCUUCUAAAUUACCUCUAAGAGGCCAUUUCCAGGAGCACUGUUUCAAUUCAAUUCAAUUCAACAUCUAUUUUGUGGGCGAGGAUAGGAAUAGUAACUGGAAAGUGUAUGUGAAUUUUCACCAUUUGGAUAAAGGAAAUGUAUGUAGCUGUGUGACAUAAAAUAACCAUAGGAUGAAACAGGGGAGAACCAUCACAAAUCCUGAGGGCCCAGGAUACAGAAGCAAUAAGCAACGUUCUGGCAACAUCAGUCCAUUUUGAUCUCUUUUUGCUUAAAUAGAGCAUCUAGAAACUCUUACUCAAAAAAGAAACUAUGCUCUAAUAAAGAGAAUCGAUUUUCAAAUCAUUAUUUUAACAUCUUUAUUUUUCUCCUUGUUGAUGCACCUUAAUUAUUAUCAGUAUUGAUAAGUCUAGAGAUGUAACGUACAUCACAAUGGCAACAGAUCAUCAUACUGUACUGAAUACUGGAAACUUGCUAAGAGAGUAGAUUUCAGGUGCUCUCAUCAAAAAAAUGAUAACUAUGGGAGGAGAUGAUAUGUUAAUUAGCUUGACUGUAGUAAUAAUUUCACUAUGUGUAUGUAUACAAAUGAUCAUGUUGUACAUCUUAAAUACAGACAAAUUUAACUAAAAAAUAAAAUUAAGAAAUACAUUGUCUGUCUUGAUU